UGGAGGCAGCAGUGGGGAAUAUUGGGCAAUGGAGGCAACUCUGACCCAGCCAUGCCGCGUGAAGGAUGAAGGCCCUAUGGGUUGUAAACUUCUUUUACCAGGGAAGAAAACCCCACAUGCGUGUGGGACUGACGGUACCUGGGGAAUAAGCACCGGCUAACUCCGUGCCAGCAGCCGCGGUAAUACGGAGGGUGCAAGCGUUAUCCGGAAUCACUGGGUUUAAAGGGUACGUAGGCGGCCUGUUAAGUCGGGAGUGAAACGCCGCAGCUCAACUGCGGAACUGCUCUCGAUACUGGCGGGCUUGGAUAUGGUGGAGGCAAGCGGAAUGCGUCAUGUAGCGGUGAAAUGCAUAGAUAUGACGUAGAACACCGAUAGCGAAGGCAGCUUGCCAUACCAUUAUCGACGCUGAGGUACGAAAGCGUGGGUAGCAAACAGGAUUAGAUACCCUAGUAU
rnacentral:rRNA from 1 species